UACAGAGGGGGCAAGCGUUGUUCGGAAUUACUGGGCGUAAAGGGCGCGUAGGCGGCCGCCUAAGUCAGACGUGAAAUCCCUCGGCUCAACCGGGGAACUGCGUCUGAUACUGGGUGGCUUGAAUCCGGGAGAGGGAUGCGGAAUUCCAGGUGUAGCGGUGAAAUGCGUAGAUAUCUGGAGGAACACCGGUGGCGAAGGCGGCAUCCUGGACCGGCAUUGACGCUGCGGCGCGAAAGCCAGGGGAGCAAACGGG
rnacentral:rRNA from 1 species